UACGAAAGGGGCUAGCGUUGUUCGGAAUUACUGGGCGUAAAGCGCACGUAGGCGGCUUGGUAAGUUGGGGGUGAAAUCCCGGGGCUCAACCCUGGAACUGCCUCCAAUACUGCUGGGCUAGAGGAUGGGAGAGGUGAGCGGAAUUCCGAGUGUAGAGGUGAAAUUCGUAGAUAUUCGGAGGAACACCAGUGGCGAAGGCGGCUCACUGGCGCAAUUCUGACGCUGAGGUGCGAAAGCGUGGGGAGUAAACAGG
rnacentral:rRNA from 1 species